GUGCUGCUUCAGCAGCACAUUUACUAAAAUUGGAACAAUACAGAGAAGAUUAGUGUGGUCCCUGCACAAGGAUGACAUGCAAAUUCAUGAAGCGUUCCAUAUUUUU
ensembl:snRNA U6 U6 spliceosomal RNA